UAUUUAUAGCCUCUGGCUAUAGGAAAUUGUUAGUGGCAGACGGGUGAGUAAUGCGUAGGAAUCUACCUAGUAGUACGGAAUAGCCAUUAGAAGUGGUGGGUAAUACUGUAUAAUCCCCGAGGGGGAAAGAUUUAUCGCUAUUAGAUGAGCCUACGUUAAAUUAGCUAGUUGGUGAGGUAAUGGCUUACCAAGGCUAUGAUCUAUAGCUGGUCUGAGAGGACGAUCAGCCACACUGGAACUGAGAUACGGUCCAGACUCCUACGGGAGGCAGCAGUGGGGAAUAUUGGACAAUGGGCGAAAGCCUGAUCCAGCUAUGCCGCGUGAGUGAAGAAGGCCUUCGGGUUGUAAAACUCUUUCAAUAGGGAAGAUAAUGACGGUACCUAU
rnacentral:rRNA from 1 species